CACAGCAAGAGGGCUACUCAGAGCAAGAGUCAUUGCAAGUUUCAGGGAAUAUAUCAGGGGAGAUAUCCAAUUAAAGAACUAGAACUAGAAAGCCUAAGAAAGUUUGUGAUGAUUAACCCAAUGACUUGAAAGAGAUACAGGAGAAGAAUAAGACUGAGAAACAAACACAGAAGCCAAGAAUAAGCUUUAACCACUAUCAGGACUGAUUUUCUACUCAGCAAAGAGGCUGCACCUGGAAAAGAAAUUUGGCCUCAGGUUUAAAAAUAAUAUCCCAGUGCCUGCUUCAAAUCUGGCUGAAGUUAAUAGGAACUGGCUUAAGUGAGUUUCUGUCAAGGUCUGCAGAUUUCAAGAAGUUGUUCAUAACUACCUGUGUUUAUUACAUGGUUGUCUGAGCUAUAGCAGCCAGCCCUUCUCCCAAGCCUGGAGGUUACUGACAACAACUUUGCUUCAAAACUUCUUAAUACCUACACCUCUCUCCAGUUCUUAAGUUUCUGAUGUGCUGAAGUGAUUUUUGUGCUGUUCCUUUUGGAAAUGUGAGUUCAGGCCUCAGCGAAAGCAGGAGUUUGAUCAAGGAGAAUAGGAACUGCUGGAAGAAAGAAACCUGUGGUGGUUGAUACAUGAUCUGAGACCCAGAGUACUU